rnacentral:rRNA from 1 species
UACGUAGGGUGCGAGCGUUGUCCGGAAUUCCUGGGCGUAAAGCGUGCGUAGGGUGUUCGUUCAGUCUGAUGUGAAAGCCCUGGGCUCAACCUGGGAAUGGCAUUGGAUACUGGCGACCUAGAGUGCGGUAGAGGGGUGUGGAAUUCCCGGUGUAGCAGUGAAAUGCGUAGAUAUCGGGAGGAACAUCUGUGGCGAAGGCGACACCCUGGACCAGCACUGACACUGAGGCACGAAAGCGUGGGGAGCAAACAGG